rnacentral:rRNA from 1 species
UACAGAGGGUGCGAGCGUUAAUCGGAAUUACUGGGCGUAAAGCGUGCGUAGACGGUUAUUUAAGUCGGGUGUGAAAGCCCCGGGCUCAACCUGGGAAUUGCAUUCGAGACUGAAUAGCUAGGGUACGGUAGAGGGAAGUGGAAUUUCCGGUGUAGCGGUGAAAUGCGUAGAUAUCAGGAAGAACACCGAUGGCGAAGGCAGGUCUCUGGGCAUUAACUGACGCUGAGGAGCGAAAGCAUGGGGAGCGAACAGG